GACGAACGCUGGCGGCGUGCUUAACACAUGCAAGUCGAACGGUAAGGCCCUUCGGGGUACACGAGUGGCGAACGGGUGAGUAACACGUGGGUGAUCUGCCCUGCACUUCGGGAUAAGCCUGGGAAACUGGGUCUAAUACCGGAUAGGACCCUGGGAUGCAUGUCCUGGGGUGGAAAGCUUUUGCGGUGUGGGAUGGGCCCGCGGCCUAUCAGCUUGUUGGUGGGGUGAUGGCCUACCAAGGCGACGACGGGUAGCCGGCCUGGGAGGGUGACCGGCCGCACUGGGACUGAGAUACGGCCCAGACUCCUACGGGAGGCAGCAGUGGGGAAUAUUGCACAAUGGGCGCAAGCCUGAUGCAGCGACGCCGCGUGAGGGAUGACGGCCUUCGGGUUGUAAACCUCUUUCAGCACCGACGAAGCGCAAGUGACGGUAGGUGCAGAAGAAGGACCGGCCAACUCCGUGCCAGCCGCCGCCGUAA
rnacentral:rRNA from 1 species